rnacentral:rRNA from 1 species
GAUUGAACGCUGGCGGCAGGCCUAACACAUGCAAGUCGAACGGCAGCACAGAAGAGCUUGCUCUUUGGGUGGCGAGUGGCGGACGGGUGAGUAAUGUCUGGGAAACUGCCCGAUGGAGGGGGAUAACUACUGGAAACGGUAGCUAAUACCGCAUAACGUCGCGAGACCAAAGUGGGGGACCUUCGGGCCUCACACCAUCGGAUGUGCCCAGAUGGGAUUAGCUAGUAGGUGGGGUAAUGGCUCACCUAGGCGACGAUCCCUAGCUGGUCUGAGAGGAUGACCAGCCACACUGGAACUGAGACACGGUCCAGACUCCUACGGGAGGCAGCAGUGGGGAAUAUUGCACAAUGGGCGCAAGCCUGAUGCAGCCAUGCCGCGUGUAUGAAGAAGGCCUUCGGGUUGUAAAGUACUUUCAGCGGGGAGGAAGGCGGUGAGGUUAAUAACCUCGCCGAUUGACGUUACCCGCAGAAGAAGCACCGGCUAACUCCGUGCCAGCAGCCGCGGGUAAUACGGAGGGUGCAAGCGUUAAUCGGAAUUACUGGGCGUAAAGCGCACGCAGGGCGGUCUGUUAAGUCAGAUGUGAAAUCCCCGGGCUUAACCCUGGGAACUGCAUUUGAAACUGGCAGGCUUGAGUCUCGUAGAGGGGGGGUAGAAUUCCAGGUGUAGCGGUGAAAUGCGUAGAGAUCUGGAGGAAUACCGGUGGCGAAGGCGGCCCCCUGGACGAAGACUGACGCUCAGGUGCGAAAGCGUGGGGAGCAAACAGGAUUAGAUACCCUGGUAGUCCACGCCGUAAACGAUGUCGACUUGGAGGUUGUGCCCUUGAGGCGUGGCUUCCGGAGCUAACGCGUUAAGUCGACCGCCUGGGGAGUACGGCCGCAAGGUUAAAACUCAAAUGAAUUGACGGGGGCCCGCACAAGCGGUGGAGCAUGUGGUUUAAUUCGAUGCAACGCGAAGAACCUUACCUGGCCUUGACAUCCAGAGAACUUAGCAGAGAUGCUUUGGUGCCUUCGGGAACUCUGAGACAGGUGCUGCAUGGCUGUCGUCAGCUCGUGUUGUGAAAUGUUGGGUUAAGUCCCGCAACGAGCGCAACCCUUAUCCUUUGUUGCCAGCGGCUCGGCCGGGAACUCAAAGGAGACUGCCGGUGAUAAACCGGAGGAAGGUGGGGAUGACGUCAAGUCAUCAUGGCCCUUACGGCCAGGGCUACACACGUGCUACAAUGGCGCAUACAAAGAGAAGCGACCUCGCGAGAGCAAGCGGACCUCAUAAAGUGCGUCGUAGUCCGGAUUGGAGUCUGCAACUCGACUCCAUGAAGUCGGAAUCGCUAGUAAUCGUAGAUCAGAAUGCUACGGUGAAUACGUUCCCGGGCCUUGUACACAC